UGGGGAAUAUUGGACAAUGGGGGAAACCCUGAUCCAGCGACGCCGCGUGAGUGAAGAAGUAUUUCGGUAUGUAAAGCUCUAUCAGCAGGGAAGAAAAUGACGGUACCUGACUAAGAAGCCCCGGCUAACUACGUGCCAGCAGCCGCGGUAAUACGUAGGGGGCAAGCGUUAUCCGGAUUUACUGGGUGUAAAGGGAGCGCAGACGGCGAAGCAAGUCUGAAGUGAAAUGCAUGGGCUCAACCCAUGAAUUGCUUUGGAAACUGUUUGGCUUGAGUGUCGGAGGGGUAAGCGGAAUUCCUAGUGUAGCGGUGAAAUGCGUAGAUAUUAGGAGGAACACCGGAGGCGAAGGCGGCUUACUGGACGACAACUGACGUUGAGGCUCGAAGGCGUGGGGAGCAAACA
rnacentral:rRNA from 1 species